AGGCACAGACUCAGGAAGUUGAGUGGCCGGAGACUGAGACCUCUUUGGCCAUGAACCAAGAUGGCUGUUAUGGUUCAGUCCACUUCACAGAUGGGUCCUCCAGGGAUGCCUGCCAGCAAAAACAAACAAGAUGACGUGGCCCUAGACCACUUCUCUUACAUAAUGGAGAGCUUCUGUACUGGCCCUGUGUCUACAAACUGUGUGUCCGGGAUAGAAAGCUUCCCAGAAGCACACAGCACAGACAGGAGAGGUAAGAA